rnacentral:rRNA from 1 species
GAUGAACGCUGGCGGCGUGCCUAAUACAUGCAAGUCGAACGCAUUGAGAGAAGUGCUUGCACUUUUCAAUUUGAGUGGCGAACGGGUGAGUAACACGUGGGCAACCUACCUGAUAGCGGGGGAUAACGAGUGGAAACAUUCGCUAAUACCGCAUAACAAUAGAGUAGGCAUCUUCUUUAUUUAAAAGGCGCUUUCAAGCGUCACUAUCAGAUGGGCCCGCGGUGCAUUAGUUAGUUGGUGGGGUGAAGGCCUACCAAGACGAUGAUGCAUAGCCGAGGUGAGAGAAUGAUCGGCCACAUUGGGACUGAGACACGGCCCAAACUCCGACGGGAGGCUGCAGUAGGGAAUCUUCCACAAUGGACGAAAGUCUGAUGGAGCAACGCCGCGUGUGUGAUGAAGGCUUUCGGGUCGUAAAGCACUGUUGUAUGGGAAGAAAUGCUAGGCUAGGAAAUGAGCUUAGUUUGACGGUACCAUACCAGAAAGGGACGGCUAAAUACGUGCCAGCCGCCGCGGUAA